rnacentral:rRNA from 1 species
AUACGGAGGGUGCAAGCGUUACUCGGAAUCACUGGGCGUAAAGCGCGCGCAGGCGGCUAUUUAAGUUGGAUGUGAAAGCCUAUGGCUCAACCGUAGAACUGCAUCCAAAACUAUUUAGCUAGAGCGUGGGAGAGGAAGAUGGAAUUAGUUGUGGAGGGGUAAAAUCCGUAGAGAUAACUAGGAAUACCAAAAGCGAAGGCAAUCUACUGGAACACUACUGACGCUGAGGCGCGAAAGCGUGGGGAGCAAACGGGAUUAGAAACCCUUGUAGUCC